AGAACGAACGCUGGCGGCAGGCCUAAUACAUGCAAGUCGAACGCACUCUUCGGAGUGAGUGGCAGACGGGUGAGUAACGCGUGGGAACCUUCCCAAUGGUACGGAAUAACUCCGGGAAACCGGUGCUAAUACCGUAUAAGCCCCUCGGGGGAAAGAUUUAUCGCCAUUGGAUGGGCCCGCGUCGGAUUAGCUAGUUGGUAAGGUAAUGGCUUACCAAGGCUACGAUCCGUAGCUGGUCUGAGAGGAUGAUCAGCCACACUGGGACUGAGACACGGCCCAGACUCCUACGGGAGGCAGCAGUAGGGAAUCUUGGACAAUGGGCGAAAGCCUGAUCCAGCCAUGCCGCGUGAGUGAAGAAGGCCUUAGGGUUGUAAAGCUCGUUUUGGCGGGGACGAUAAUGACGGUACCCGCAGAAUAACGCCCGGCUAACUUCGUGCCAGCAGCCGC
rnacentral:rRNA from 1 species